rnacentral:rRNA from 1 species
UACGUAGGGUGCGAGCGUUGUCCGGAAUUAUUGGGCGUAAAGAGCUUGUAGGCGGUCUGUCGCGUCUGCUGUGAAAAUCCGGGGGCUCAACCCCCGGACUGCAGUGGGUACGGGCAGACUAGAGUGUGGUAGGGGGAGACUGGAAUUCCUGGUGUAGCGGUGAAAUGCGCAGAUAUCAGGAGGAACACCGAUGGCGAAGGCAGGUCUCUGGGC